rnacentral:rRNA from 1 species
GAAGGUGUAUCUAGAAAGACAAAUUAGAGCUUGAAAAAUAAAGCAUUUCAUUUACAUUGAAAAGUAUAUUGUGUAAUUCAAUUUAAUUUGAUAAUAAAAAUUUAUUAAUUUUUUUUUGAUUAAAAAUUUAUUUAAUAAAAUUAAUUUUAAAUUAAGUUUUUUUUGUAUAGUAUAUAGAUCAAAUAAUUUAUAUAAUAGUUAAUUAGUAUUGUAAAAGAAUAUUGAAAUAUUUGAAAAAUUUUUAAAUUAAAAGUAAAUUUUAUAUAUUGUACCUUGUGUAUCAGGGUUUAUUAAUUAAAAGUUAAAAAUUUAAUUUUUCUCGAAUUUAAGAGAGUUAAUUUAUUAUUUAAUUUUUUGUUUCAUAAAAAUUUAAAAUAAUAAAUUAGAAAUGAAAUGUUAUUCGUUCUUUAAUAUAUCUAGUUUUUUAAGAAAUAAAUUAAAUUUAGAUUAUUAAUAAAUAAUUAUUUAUUUAUUUAAUAAAUUAUUAUUAAUAAUUAAUAUUUUAAGGGAUAAGCUUUAAAGUAAGUUUUAUAAUAAUUUUUUAAUUUAAAAAUUAUAGGUUUAGAAAUAGUCAUUAAUUAUAAAAAUGUUAUAAUUUAUUUUAAGUUAAAAAUAAUUUUUAUUGAUUUAAGUUUUUAUUAAAAUAAUUUUUAAAAUUAUAUAAGAAUUAAAAUAAUGAUAAAAUUAGUAUAUUUAAUUGUUUAUAUAAAAUAAAUUGAAAGGUUAAAUUAAGGAAUUUGGCAAAUAAAUACUCGCCUGUUUAACAAAAACAUGUCUUUUUGAAUAUAAUUUAAAGUCUAAUCUGCCCACUGAAAAAUUUUAAAGGGCCGCGGUAUU